UUACAGGUCAUAACUCAUAACUGAGAAGCUAAUAUUAUCUCAGAUAUUUAGCACACUGUUUUGCCCAUGCACAUCCUUGUGUCCAGGCAGAAUACAUCAUAUAUAAUUUGGAAGAUAUCAUAGCGGGGAACACAACAAUUUGUAGCCAGUAGUGGUGUACUUAUUCGCCUUGCAUACUCUGCUUUAUUACAAUGAGCACAUACAGGCUCUAGCAAGAUAGUUUGCAGAGAACUACAUGCCACUUCAUAGCUUUAAGGAAGGAGGAAGAGGUGUUGGCCUUGCUAAGGGACGCUGAAAGAACCAUCCCUUCUCCUCAGUGAAGCCAGAGGAUGCAGGUGCACCAUUCCCAGCUGGUGCUGCAAUUUAUCAUGAACAAAAAUUAAUUGAAGCAAUCGUUAAAAUCUGACCAAGUAUUCGUAUUACGUAUGCAAGAAGAGACUGGAUCUCCCUUUGUUUCAACUUUCAAGGAAAUGAAAGCGAAGCGCAGGGUGGAAAGAAACAAAUAGAUCGCUUCCUAUGAAAUUUUUUACGUUUAGUGUUGCCAUAAAAAGUUUGCAAAUUUUUGUACCUACAGAAAUAACACAUGUAAAUGAAGAACAAGUUUUCUUUUUCUCUCUGAACCGUAGAAUGAGAUUGAAAAUACAUAGCAAGAACGACUGCGUUCAAGUUUACGUUUGAAGGUCUUACCCGGCGCAGCAGCUUGACGUGCCAAGUCUUUUGGACGAUCUGGCGGUGUCGUCUGGCCCAUCACAACUGGGAGAUGUCCAUGGGUGAGGACCAGAACGAUAGCCAGCAUUGCGAACACCUUAGCGGCCAUGGUUUGGGCUCUGUCACUCCACUACUGAAAGAAGCUUUUGUUGGG
rnacentral:lncRNA from 1 species